CCCCACUUUCGUUUGUCCCCCCCCCCCCCCCCCCACACGCCUCUGCCGCCUCCACUCCUCUUUGUCCCCGGCUCCACUCUCUCUUUCUUCAACACAAAACCUAUAAAUAGUGGUUGAGUUGAAUCGAAAAGGGGGUCUGGUUUUGAGUCAUGAAAUUCCCCAAGAACUAGGUCUUCUUUUUCAGUCGCAAAAAUCCCCAAAAUAUUGAGUUCUUCAGCCGCUGAAUUAGUUUUGUUUUUUUUAGCAGUCAUAGUAUCGAUUAAUGUCGAUUAAAGUAUAAAAAAACGUUUUCCUUUUUUUUUUGCUGCUUCGAUUCUGAGUGAUACCAACUCAAGAGUUUGUAGUGUUUCAAGGUAGAUCGGAAACUCGAAGCCUCACUUCGCUGCACCCACAAAAGAGCGAAAUUGAGUCUUCAUAAAGACUCACUGUCCGAGCGGUCUCAUUUUGAGACUAUGCCGCCGCUAGACCUCAAUGUGCAUCUCCAUCUCAUUCACUUCUCUCGCUCCCUCGAACACAUCCGAACAGAAACAAAGAGGAAACCCGGGACUUUCAGUUGCUUCUUAAUUCACUCCUCUUCCUCUCCUGGAUAUGGUCUGAACGAAGGCAAGGAAAGAGGGAGGAAGGGGAGAAUAACUACUGCAUUGUUUAAUUUUCUCUUAUGAUUAAUUGUCUCGGUUUUUCUAUAUCUUACUUAUUUAGAACUACCAGCCUUAGAAGUUAGAAUAUUUUAGCCAUUAGAGGGGUAAUGGGGAUAUCAGUUUUAUAACAUCUUGAGAAAUAAUAUUAGUUUCGAAACUUAAUUGA